AUGGUGAUCUGCAGAGAUCUCCCUGAUGAUCGCUGAUUUGAAGAGUCUUCUACUGGAGCAAUUACCUAUCAGGAGGAAUCAGCGCGGAUCCGUUAGGAUUGACAGGCUCCUCCGGGAGGUUUCUCCAGCUCCCAACCCACCUGUCUGUGCAGGGGCCGCUGUGCUCCGGGCCUGCAGGCCAAGCCUGGGGGUACGCGCACCGUUAAUUAAAGGACUUUGUUAUUCCUCCUCUUUCACAUUUAUAUAUUUGUUUGGAAGAGAACCACUGCAAAGAGCUUCUACUAAAUAUUAUGUUUUCACACAGGCCAGCCUGCAACAAGGCAAGCCUAACCAAAAGGAUGAAGGGGGAGAAAGUGGAUAGUAAGAUGCAGUGCAUUUAUAUAUAUAUAUAGUGGUUAUAAUGAUGCUGGCAUUGGAAUAACCUUAGCGCAAGGAAUCAUCUUCUCCUCAGGAGGGAGGUUUCCUCACCUCACCUUGAUUCUUAACCCACAAAGCAUCAUGUUCUCUGGAGCUAAUCCCUGUGCUAUUUGC